AUGAGAAGCAAAUUAGCAUACGGCUCGCGUUUUUGAAAGGAACACGCAAAACAAGCGGCCAUGAUUUCCUCUGCUUAUUAGUCGCUUCGAGCAAAUUACAGUUGUUUUUGCGUCCCGAUUUAUGGCUGCACAUAAAAAGGAAUGUAAGGUUCGAGUGCUAGUGCGCUUGCGACCCGAAAGUGCUGACUAUAAAGAAAAAGAAGGGAGCCAUCAAGAUGGAAUUCCCGAUCGUUGUGUUCGAGCUGUGGAUUCUUCAACACUGGAAUUGUGGAAUUGAAGAAAUUCUGAAGAGUCAAUUCGCUACCGAUUCAAUGGCUUUUUUGAUGAAGACAGUACACAAGAGACAUUGUACCACAACUCAGUGUGCCCGUUGAUUCCUUACGUUCUACAAGGCCACAAUGCCAGUGUGUUUGCAUAUGGUCCCACUGGGGCAGGAAAAACACACACAAUGUUUGGAUCACCAGAGCAACCAGG